rnacentral:lncRNA from 1 species
GCUUCAACGGUCAAACUAACCAGUCUCCCACAUACGUUCAAGAACUCAUUGUACCAUACACACCAUCACGGGAACUAAGAUCCACUGGCUGUAGACUAAUUUCAACACCUCGUGUAUCACUGAAGAAAUAUGUGUACUUAAAAGCAGCUGAGAGGAGAGGACAAGCACUCACUCUGGUGAAGCAACCCUCUCUAGUGCAGACCACACCAGCCCAAACCUCCGCUCCCACUUAGCCCUGAGUCCCCACUUGUGUCAGUCCCGAGCACACCCUGCGACCACGCACACAGACCACCCUCUGCGAGAGCGAGAGACUUUGUACGUGUCCACUUGGUUCAUUCCUCAGUCUAGCAGUCAGUCACAUCUGCGUUAUCUUAUACUUCUUGUUGACUGGAACUCCUCAACAGCACAAAGUCUGCUUUGACUAUCAAGGGAAC